GGCCAGCGUGGCGUAGUGGUUUGUGUGUUGGACUAUUACUCUGGAGACCCGCGUUCGAUUCCCAGCUCGGCCA